CCGCAGCGACUGCGGAGAGACAUUACCUAGAGUUGCGGGCUUUGCCUGCCAUCUCUUACCCAUGUCUUUUGAGUACCUUACGUUUCCUCGGCGGGUCCGCCCGCCGACUGGACAAUUUAAACCACUUGCAGUUGCAAUCAGCGUCUGAAAAAACUUAAUAGUUACAACUUUCAACAACGGAUCUCUUGGUUCUGGCAUCGAUGAAGAACGCAGCGAAAUGCGAUAAGUAGUGUGAAUUGCAGAAUUCAGUGAAUCAUCGAAUCUUUGAACGCACAUUGCGCCCCUUGGUAUUCCAUGGGGCAUGCCUGUUCGAGCGUCAUUUGUACCUUCAAGCCUUGCUUGGUGUUGGGUGUUUGUCUCGCCUCUGCGCGUAGACUCGCCUCAAAACAAUUGGCAGCCGGCGUAUUGAUUUCGGAGCGCAGUACAUCUCGCGCUUUGCACUCAGAACGACGACGUCCAAAAGUACAUUUUUACACUCUUGACCUCGGAUCAGGUAGGGAUACCCGCUGAACUUAAGCAUAUCAAUAAGGCGGAGGAA
rnacentral:rRNA from 1 species